UUAAGUGAACAAGGGCAUACGGCGGAUGCCUUGGCGCCAAGAGCCGAUGAAGGACGCGGUAAGCUGCGAAAAGGCAUGGGUAGGAGCAAGCAUCCUGUGAUCCAUGCAUAUCCGAAUGGGGCAACCCACCAUCAGUCAUGUGAUGGUACGAAAGAGGCAGACCUGGGGAACUGAAACAUCUAAGUACCCAGAGGAAAAGUAAUCAAUUGAGAUUCCCUAAGUAGCGGCGAGCGAAAGGGGAAGAGCCCAAACCAGAUAACUUCGGUUGUCUGGGGUUGAGGACCGGCAAAAAGAGGAAACUUCUUAGUCGAAUGGUUUGGAAAGGCCAUGCAUAGAAGGUAAAACACCUGUAGGCGAAAAGAAGUCAAUCGGGCUGGUAUCCAGAGUACUGCGAGACACGUGAAACCUUGCAGGAAGCAGGGGGGACCACCCUCCAAGGCAAAAUACUACUUGGCGACCGAUAGCGCAUAGUACCGUGAGGGAAAGGUGAAAAGAACCCCGGGAGGGGAGUGAAAUAGAACCUGAAACCGUAUGUCUACAAGCAGUCGAAGCACCUUAAGAGUGCGACGGCGUGCCUAUUGAAGAAUGAACCGGCGAGUUACAUUAUGUUGCGAGGUUAAGUGGGAGACACGGAGCCGAAGCGAAAGCGAGUCUUAAUAGGGCGACUAGUAACAUGGUGUAGACCCGAAACCGCAGUGAUCUAUCCAUGGUCAGGUUGAAGCGCAGGUAAAAAUGCGUGGAGGACCGAACCCGUGAGUGUUGAAAAACUUUGGGAUGAACCGUGGAUAGGGGUGAAAUGCCAAUCGAACGCGGAGAUAGCUGGUACUCCCCGAAAUAGCUUUAGGGCUAGCCUCAGGGAAGAUUAUAGACGGUAGAGCACUGAUCUGGCAAGGGGGCGUAAAGCCUACCGACCCUAGUCAAACUUCGAAUGGCUAUAAUUAAGACCCUGGGAGUCAGACUGCGAGUGAUAAGACCCGUAGUCAAGAGGGAAACAGCCCAGACCGCCGACUAAGGUCCCCAAUGCUGUACUAAGUGGAAAAGGAUGUAAGACUUCAUAAACAACCAGGAUGUUGGCUUAGAAGCAGCCACCAUUAAAAGAGUGCGUAAUAGCUCACUGGUCGAGAGGCCUUGCGCCGAAGAUGUCCGGGGCUCAAGUACAGAACCGAAGUCGCGGCAGGAUUAUAUAAUUCUGGGUAGGGGAGCGUUGUAUAUCCGACUGAAGGUGUACCGGAAGGAGCGCUGGAGGAUAUACAAGAGAGAAUGCCGGUAUGAGUAGCGAAAAGAACAGUGAGAAUCUGUUCCACCGAAAGCCUAAGGUUUCCUGAGCAACGCUCGUCGACUCAGGGUAAGUCGGGACCUAAGCCGAGGCAAAAAGCAUAGGCGAUGGACAACAGGUUAAUAUUCCUGUACCGCUUCAAAUCGUUUGAGCAAUGGAGUGACACAGAAGGUAGCUUGAGCACGCGAAUGGAUGUGCGUGUCGAAGGUGGUAGGUUGCAGUAUAGGCAAAUCCGUACUGUAUAAGACCGAGAACUGAUAGAUAGACAAUACUUCGGUAAAGUCAAAUUCAAGUGAGCCAUGCUGUCGAGAAAAGCUUCUAGUGAGAGAUGAGGCGCCCGUACCGAAACCGACACAGGUAGGCGGGGAGAGAAUCCUAAGGUGCGCGGGACAACCCUCGUUAAGGAACUCGGCAAAUUGUAUCCGUAACUUAGGGAUAAGGAUAGCCGGAGGAUGUGAAGGGAUUUACUUCUGGAGCGUCAGCCGGUGGCACAAGAGAGGCCCAAGCGACUGUUUAGCACAAACACAGGUGCCUGCAAAAGAGAAAUCUGACGUAUAGGUGCUGACACCUGCCCGGUGCUGGAAGGUUAAGAGGAGGGCUUAGAGGCAACUCGAAGGCUUGAAUUGAAGCCCCAGUAAACGGCGGCCGUAACUAUAACGGUCCUAAGGUAGCGAAAUUCCUUGUC
rnacentral:rRNA from 1 species